CUGGUGGUUUUGCUGCUGACAAAUGACAACGCGUUGUUCGAUUGUGUCUGUAAACAGAUCAAAUUCGCCAAAGACCUGGCGGGUAGACUUCCAGUGAGUCCUGGUUUACUAGAGAUCUGGAAUACGUACUGUAUACUUAACGAUGAUUACCAGCUGUUCGAAACGUGCGAUAACCUCAACCAGUCCUUCCCCACAUUGCCAGCUGUUGGACGCCUGGUACCGACCACCUGGGACUUCAGACCUUUCCGGUAGGCAGACGAGGUGAAGUGUGGCUUCGUCACAGAGGAGAUUCGUGGCCUGACGGUGGACGCAGCCGUGCAAUUCUCGAGGGAGCUCAGCUGCCACAUCGCUGCCAACUGCAUUGACUCCUACUCUGUACAGGGGUCGAACGACGCGGAAUGGAACCUGACGACGCUGGCAGCUUACUCUCUGUCUGAUGCUAUCAUCUGGGAGUCACUGGACGCCGUUCAGCGCAUCACAGAGGCGAUGCGUGCCAGGGAAAUGUGUUAUCUCCGACAUCCAAUCAACUUGCCUCAUCAGUAUUUCAAACUACCUGGUACGCUGACGCUGACCGAGAAGUGGAAACUGCCACCCACCGGCAGCCGCAGAGUAACACCACCGCACGACGACAAAGAAUUCCGGGAUGAUGUGCCGAUGGUCUUCCAGGAAGAGCUCUCCAACUGCUGGAGAGACAAUGCACAGUUGCUUUCAUCCGGAAUAACGCACGUCUCGCGACUGCUCAUUCCCCUCGCA